CUCUCCAUGGCACUCAUGCUUAAGACAUGGCAGUGUCAGCACAAUCUGAGGGUGGACUUUUCUACCCUCUGAUGUGAAAAGGUGAAGUGAAGGACAUGAAAACCCUCACCAUGCAUCCCCUGAAGACUGACCAGAAGUUCUCUGUGGUCCGUGGUCUCCUAUCAGGAAGGAACAGAGUGAGGACUGGUUGGUUUGGAAGCCUGGAAGACAGCUCUCGCUGGAAUUGAGCCCGGUUGGCAGCUGGCCUCAUCUCAGACAUCCCGCCUCAGACCCGGAGAACUAGGUGUCUGCUGCUGAAGUCUCAGCUCUGCUCUUCCGUCAUGGCAGCCUCAGCUAAGACAGCAAUGAUCUAAUAUUCAUCCAUGUUCUAAUUUCCCCAAUUGUUCCAAAUUAUAUCUUUUAGAUAGAAUUAACCUGUUUGUUUAAAUCAGGAUUUAAUUGAGGACCACGCA